rnacentral:rRNA from 1 species
AUGGAGGAUGACUCGCCAGCGACGAAGACGGUGAAGGGCGCCGUGACGGGUCUGGCCGCGGGCACCAUCUGGGGCACCAUCGUCGCCACCUGGUACGACGUGCCCCGGGUGGAGCGCCACGUCGCGCUCCCGGGCCUCGUCCGGACGCUCAAGAUGUGCGGCAGCUACGGGGUCACUUUCGCCGCCGUCGGAGGGCUCUACAUCGGCGUGGAGCAGAUUGUGCAGAGCCAGCGCAAGAAGCGCGACUUCGUCAACGGGGCCAUCGGCGCCUUCGUCUCCGGCGCCACCGUCUAUGGCUACAGAGGAAAGAGCAUUAAGUCUGCCCUCAUCGGUGGUUCUAGCCUGGCAUUCACAUCUGCCAUUCUGGACGUUGGCGGUAACACUACCAGAGUGGACAAUGGCAAAGCGUACCAUGCAUACACAACGGAAAAGAAGCCCGAGCCUGUGCAUUGA